rnacentral:lncRNA from 1 species
CGGAUUUUUGCACCAAUAACUAUAAAUUAAAAAAUUAUCCUAAAAAAAUUAUCAAUAAAAAAAUAAUAAAAUUAUUUAUCAUAUCAUAAAAUAAAAAAAGAUAAUAUUAUAAGUUAAGAUUAGCAAAUAUCCUAAAAAAAAAUAAAAAUAAAAAAAUAACAAAAAAUCUAUGAAUAUAAAUCUAAUUAAUUAAUCAUACAUAAAGUUCGAUGAUGCUUAGUGGUGG